CUGUGCUCUGGUAAAGGAUCUGUUCCAGUUGUUUCUGAUUUCACUGCUCCAAGUUACGAUAAAGCCUGGAGAGUUGCAGGUCUUUUCAAAUACCUUCGAGGCUGUCAUGUGGAAAAAGGAUUAGGUUUAUUCCUAUGACUCCAGAGGGCAGAACUCAUGUCAGUGAGUGGAAGAGAGGCAGAUUUCACUUUAGAAUGUGAAAUAUCUCUCUAAUAAUGAGACACUUGCCCCCAAAAGAAGGGGUUGCCUUGUGAAAAAGCCAGUUCCUCAUCUCUCCUAGUGCUGGGUGCGACUCCAUGAUCCUUCUGCUCUGGAGAAUGCUUGAAAUGGCCAGGCCAGCAAACCUAGAAGGACGUCCUAAACUUCAAGUUUAUGAAAUUGUGUUAAAUUCUAAAAAGCGGCGUAGACAUUUUAAAUAUAGCAGAUUAACAUCAUUCAAAUUCUGGAUGAAAUUAUGUUUCUCAAAAACAGUGAGGUCUGUUUUAAACUUUACCCCUAGACCCUCUUUGUAUUUCUGUUCUUACGCCCGUACAUUUUCGAGAACAGUUUUUAAAAGAUGACAAUUGUCCUGAUAAGGAGUCAUCUAACUCAGUCUUCCAUCAGCAUUGUUUCCUGACUGUACAGUUAUAAAACUUUGUACCAAAUGUAUUGUACUCAUUGUUGACGUUUUAAUGAAUUGUAGGGAUUCAAUGAGGUAAAACAAGACAAAAACCAAAAACCUCCCUUUGAAUGCUAAAUGUUAGGAUUUUAAUCUGUAAUCUUAACUCUUUGAACAUGAUCUUUUUCUUCUUUCUGGCUUCUUUAUUAAUGUUCCUUCAGGUUGAACGCAGUUAGAUUCUUUUCUAGUUUAAAAAUAACUUGAAGCUGAAAUAAAACAGCAAGUCCUCUUCUCCACCUGAACUGAUUGUUUUUCUCCCAGGAUUUCCGCGGAUCUUCUCAACUUGCUUUUUAUCUGCCUCUUUAGCUGUUUAAAUUGCAUUCCCUAAUUUUUGCCAGAAGGGUAUUUCCUUCUAAUGAUGGGCUGUGGUUUCUCUCAUUUGAAAAACAAUACAGAAGCCUGGAGAUUCUCCCAGAAUCUAAGAAGUCAUUGCAGACGUAAAGUAGGCAAGAAGCUGGGGCGGAAAGAAAUGCCCUCUGCAUAAAUCCGGUUACUCUGAGUCCUUUUUGACAACUUCCGGGACCAGACUUCAGGCGGUGUUCAAAAUUGUCUUCUUCACCGUAUCUAUUUAUUUUUUCACGAUCGUACAUAUUUACAUCCGUACGCAUAUGGCGAGCGGGAGAGAAAGCGAUGACGUGAGGCUCUCGUUCAAAAGAGGAGGUAGUGAGGAAAUGAAACAGGUGUCUGGGAAGGGGUUCUGCUAGAGAAGGGAAAAUUGAGAGUUAACACCCCAUCAUUCAGACGGCAGGAGUUCUCUGCAGGUAGCCGACUGGAAAGGCGAACUCGUGCACCCUCUUUGGGGACAGGCUCGUUGCUUUCCAUUUCUUCGCUUGCAGCCAGGGUGCACAUUUACUUGAAACCGACUGAAUUUCCUGCUCAAUGGCUGGUCAGGUUGACUCUUCAAAACUAGUGGCUAUUUCUUUUUAAUGUUUCCAAUGUUUUUGCUUUCUUUCUGUCUUUUUUUUAGAGGUUGAGGGGAAAGAGAUCGGUAGAAAUUCUCGCUGGGUAGGUGGAGGAUUCUCAAAAAUGAGAAAGGGAGGAGGAAAUGGACUUAGAAGCCGGAGAGCAAAGCAGCCCCCGGGCUCUGUAUCCUCCGCCCUCCCAGCCCCUGGCCGCUGACCUCCCGCGGAGACCCCAGGCGGCUGCAUCAAUAUUUGAUCGGCCCUUCGCCAGCGCGUUGCCAGCACUCGCCGGCAGAGCUUGCCGGGCAUCGCCGGUGCUGCGCUGCGGCCGGCGGCCGGCGGCCGGGCCCGCGGGGGGGCUUUGGAAGGACCGGCUCCGCGCUCGCCCCCUCACCGGGCGGCGCCCACCAUGCGGGGCUGCCCGCGGCUCGCGCUGCUCUGCGUGCUGCCCUGGCUCCUGCGGGCGGCGGCUCCCGGGCGCCCCGCGCAACCCCGCGACCCCCGCGACCCCGCCAGGGGCGCAGAUUUCAAUCGCGUCUACAGCGGGGUGGUGAGCCUCAGCACGGAGAACAUCUACUCCUUCAACUACACCAGCCAGCCCGGCCAGGUCAUCGCCGUGCGGGUGUAUGUGAACAGCUCCUCGGAGAACCUCGAUUACCCAGUCCUCGUUGUGGUUCGCCAACAGAAAGAGGUGCUGUCCUGGCAGGUUCCUCUGCUCUUCCAAGGACUGUAUCAGAGGAGAUACAACUACCAGGAAGUGAGCCGCACCUUAUGUCCCUCAGAAGCCACCAACGAAACAGGACCGCUGGAGCAGCUGAUGUUUGUAGAGGUAGCCUCCAUGGCACCCCUGGGUGCCCACUACAAACUGCUGGUUACCGAGAUCAAGCACUUCCAGCUGCAGACGAAUGUUGCCUUUCACUUCACCGCCAGCCCCUCUCAACCUCAGUAUUUUCUAUACAAAUUCCCUGAAGAUGUGGACUCAGUUAUCAUUAAAGUCGAGUCUGAAAUGGCUUAUCCAUGUUCUGUUGUCUCAGUCCAGAAUGUCAUGUGCCCAGUGUAUGAUCUCGAUGACAAUGUGGAGUUUAAUGGUGUCUAUCAGUCCAUGACCAAGAAAGCUGCCAUCACACUACAGAAAAAGGAUUUUCCAGGAGAGCAGUUCUUCGUAGUAUUUGUGAUAAAGCCUGAAGAUUAUGCCUGUGGAGGAUCUUUCUUCAUCCAGGAAAAGGAGAACCAGACCUGGAAUCUACAGCGAACAAAGAACAUUAAAGUGACCAUCGUUCCAUCCGUUAAAAAAUCCGUGUAUGUGAAAGUCAGUGUUCUCACUUUCUUCACCUUCUUCGCCUUCUAUGUGGGAUACCUGGUUUUCGCAUGCGUUCAUUAUAUCAGGUUUCACAGAAAAUCCAUCGGUAAAGGCUUUGGCUCCAGUGACGGCUCUGGAAAUAUGGCGGUGUCACAUCCCAUUGCUGCCAGCACCCCUGACGGGAGCAAUUAUGGGGCAAUAGAUGAGUCAAGCUCCAGUCCUGGCAGGCAGAUGUCCUCCUCUGACGGGGGACACACCUACCAGUCAGAUACGGACAGCUCCGUCGAGGAGACUGACUUCGACACCAUGCCGGAUAUUGAGAGUGAUAAGAACAUCAUCCGGACCAAGAUGUUCCUUUACCUGUCAGAUCUGUCCAGGAAGGAUCGAAGAAUUAUCAGCAAAAAGUAUAAGAUUUAUUUUUGGAACAUCAUCACUAUUGCUGUGUUUUAUGUACUGCCUGUGAUCCAGCUGGUCAUCACCUACCAGACAGUGGUCCACGUCACUGGCAACCAGGACAUCUGCUACUACAACUUCCUCUGUGCUCACCCCCUGGGCAGCCUGAGUGCCUUCAACAACAUCCUCAGUAACCUGGGCCACGUGCUCCUGGGCUUCCUCUUCCUGCUGAUAGUCUUGCACCGGGAUAUUCUCCAUCGAAGAGCCCUGGAAGCCAAGGACAUCUUCGCCAUGGAGUAUGGGAUCCCCAAACACUUUGGUCUCUUCUAUGCUAUGGGCAUCGCGCUGAUGAUGGAAGGAGUGCUCAGUGCUUGUUACCACGUCUGCCCUAAUUACUCCAACUUCCAAUUCGACACCUCUUUCAUGUACAUGAUUGCUGGCCUCUGCAUGCUGAAGCUCUACCAGACCCGCCACCCAGACAUCAAUGCCAGUGCUUAUGCUGCCUAUGCCUCCUUUGCCGGAGUCAUCACUGUCACCGUCCUCGGAGUGGUGUGUGGAAAAAAUGAAACGUGGUUCUGGGUCAUCUUCUCUGCAAUCCAUAUCCUGGCCUCUCUGGCCCUCAGCACUCAGAUCUACUACAUGGGUCGCUUCAAGAUAGAUGUGUCUGACACAGCAGAUUUGGGAAUCUUCCGGCGGGCCCUUACGGUGGUCUACACGGACUGCUUCCAGCAGUGCAGCCGGCCUCUGUACACGGACAGAAUGGUGUUGCUCAUCAUGGGGAAUCUGGUUAACUGGUUCUUUGCCUUCUUUGGACUCAUCUAUCGACCCAGGGACUUCGCCUCCUACAUGCUGGGCAUCUUCAUCUGUAACCUGCUGCUCUACCUGGCCUUUUAUAUCAUCAUGAAGCUGCGCAGCAACGAGAGGGUCCUCCCCAUUCCGUCUGUCUGCAUCGUCGCCACCGCUGUGGUGUGGGCCGCUGCCCUGUAUUUCUUUUUCCAGAAUCUCAGCAGCUGGGAGGGAACCCCAGCCGAAUCCCGGGAGAAGAACCGGGAGUGUAUCCUGUUCGAUUUCUUUGAUGACCAUGACAUCUGGCACUUCCUCUCUGCUACUGCCCUGUUUUUCUCAUUCUUGGUUUUGUUAACCCUGGAUGAUGAUCUGGAUAUGGUUCAGAGAGACAAGAUCCGUGUCUUCUGAGCCUUCCAGCAUUAAGAGGGGGAGAUGGAGCAAUCGAUCUUGGUGCUGUUUCCUGAAAAUACAGGCACUGCAGCAAAGUAACCACUGCCAAAUGCUCCACCCGCCUCUGUGGAGUCAGCUCUGGAUGUGUUGACACAGAGAGGAGAGAGGCACGGGGAGAUUCAAACCUGCAAGAAGCGGGGCCACGGCUGUGACAGAGGCGAGGCCUAAGGGUCGAGAGACACCAUCCCAUUCCUUUGCAACUCUAAGCUAGACAUGGACAAAAGCUGCAUCAGAGUCAGCUUGCUCUCUUGGGACCCCUCCCACCCUCGUGGAGAUUUGCCAGCAAUGGCAGGACGAUGCUGCCGUCUUCCUUCCAGCUGCCUCCAUGCCUGGAAAGGCCGGCAGCUCGGAUACCCCCUCCCUCCUCUAGAAACUUCGGGUUGGCCCCCUUUGCACCUCUGUAACGUCCAAUACUGUGGGCAUCCCAACACCAGCUCUCUUCUCCAAGGUCCUGGGCUGACGGGAUUCCUUGGAGUCUGGUAGAGGGGUGGACCCAAGGUCCUUCCAAACUGGGACAGAUGUUCCAAUAGCACCAGCUAGUCGCCUCCUCAGAAGGAAUGCUGUAGGUUUCCCCCAGGUUCCUGACCCCAUUUGAAGGACUCACGCUGGGCUGUGUCACACUGUCCUCCUCACGGGUGACCAUCUCUGGGACCAAGUCUUGGUGCUUACCUCCUCCUUAGUGUCUUCAUCUCACUGCUGUGUGUUGACCCAUAACUCAGGCUCUGCCUUCUCAGGAAGGCCCUGUCACUCCACAGCCCAGCUCCAAGGUGGAAGGGGAAACGGGGACACUCUCCCAGCAGCAGGAGGAGCCAGAGAAAUGACCGGCAGCACUAAGAGACUGGCAAUAGCAGCACCAAGCAAACAGGCCUACCCUAAGGAUGUGGGCACACAGAGCUAAAUGAGCGAAGGCGAAAGUGCUUCCUCACGCCUCCAGUUUCCAGAGCUCAGUUCUGUGCCCACCUCACCUCUGGCAAAGAAAUAGGUGUUCUAACCAGGGGCACUGCAUGAGGGGUCCUCUACCACCCACCAGGCCCCUUCUCUGUCACCCUAUGCAGAUCAGAGGCUCCGGACUUUCUCCCUGAAGUUCUUUAAAAGUACCUCUCAGGGUGGACACAUUCUACUCCUCCUCUCUAGCUGCAAAGAACCCAGCCGAUUUAGGACUGUCUCCUGGUUGCACCUGACUCCCGUCGUCUCCCCAGAAAGUGCCGAUCUCGUGGUCGGAGGACACAAGAAAGCCAGUGACUGCCAUCUGUGGGGUUGAUAAGACUGCAGCGUGGAGGGGCAACCAGUUUUUAAUAGCUGAGCGGUCGCUCGUCCACAUGUGGUGCAAUGCCUUUGCGACUUGUGCCUGUGCUCGGGGACGUCGCUCUUGAAAAGAGAAGGGACGGGCAUCUCUGAAAGCCGAGAUCAGCAGGAGGGGAACCGGAGAGAGACAGCCACUGUGCAGAGUAAUGAGAGCAGUUCAGCUAGAGCUGGACAGAGAUGUGGCAGCCAGAGGGACAAAGUUGUGCACAUGAAACAUGACCUCUUCUCACCGCUGGCGAGGGCUGGCUGGGCCGCGCACCUGCUGACACUGGACGGGCAGACUGGAAUCAACCUGAAAGAGACCCCUGGCCUCACUGAGCUGAGACUGAAGAGCUGGGCCGUAUUCGAAAAGGUCAUAUUCGGACAAGGAGGGAAGAAUAAACCCGUUGGACUCUCACAAACUGCCCUGUCAUGCGCAGAGGAGAAGAAUCAUUGUGUCCUCCUACAUAAAAGGGGAGAAAUCAGAAAAAUAAGAGAGAUGCUUUGAACUGACCAUCUCAAAUUUUUCCUAAGAAAAAUGAAAAUUCCAGAUUUAAUCCCAGCAGAGAACAGAGAUUAGAGAGAGAAGGUUGUGAUGGGAUCAUCUUAAUCCAUCCUUGAAGAUAUAAAAACAGCUCCCUCUCCCUAAACCUUAGGAAUCGCAACAACCGCUCCUUGCUGGAGGACAAGCACGGACUGCACUUCCGGGUCUGUCCUUUAGUGGGAUCUUAAUAUUGGGAAGCGUUGCCCUCAAUUCCCAUCUCUAACCCCCAGACCAUUAAAGUUGGCAGAACUGAUCAUUGAAACAGUAAACAUUUGUCAUCAGGCAUUCUGCCAAGGGUUUUAUAUACAUUUCCAUAUUUAAUCCUGAAACACACCCUCCGCUGAAGUCAGUAUUCUUAUUUUAUUUCCCAGAUGGAGAAACUGAAAGGUAGAAAAGUUGCUGUUCACGAGAUGAAGUGAACAGUGCAGAAACCUAGAUUUGUAGUCAGAAAUGAGUAGUUCAGGUAAGGAGACCAGAGAAAGGGCAGACAGAUUGUGUUACAAAGAAGAUUCAAUUUGUAUUUAUGCACGUAUCUAUAUAUGCAAAUAGCACAGCCUGGAAUUAUGUAACUAUUGAACGUAUUAACAAAAAGAGAAGGUUUUUCCAACAUUCAGAAGAUCUGUCCUUUAUCUGAACCCAAGCAGCAAUGAAACGUACUGUGCUUUAGGGAAGCCAACCAAUAACACCGCCUUGGAUCAUUUGGGCUCCAGAAACUGGAACAGCUGGAUUCACGUGAAGACUUGCUUCACUUUCUAAGCUUGGAAAGUUAAGAACCAAAGUCCUGUUUAUAAAUUCAAUGUUUGCACUUGGCAAAGGGCUAUAGACCAAAGAUUCCUUCUAAAUUAAAAUAUACAUGGCGCGAGGUGUCAGGUUUCCACUGGGAGCCUGUUGUUUCAGAAACAACAUUAACAAUGGAGAGAAAGCACAGCGAUAUAAUGUGUUUUUUAAUUUCCUACAAAGCAUUGAGAGGCUCAAAAAACUGUCAAGAGUCAAAAAGUCUUCCAAAGUUGCCUCUGGAGCUGAUCUUUGCUGGCUCAACAGAUGAGGCCGAAUCGAUGUCUCCCAUCAAUGACUGAACCAUCUUUGUUCUCAGUGGUGGGGCCCAGCCCUCUCCUCCUGCAGGGAGGUGAUUUCAUCUGGCCAAACUGAGGCAGAGGGACCAGGCAGCGCUGAACUGGAAAAUCGUAAUUCUUCAUUUGGGGUACACAAUGAUUUGGUUCGAAACACUGACAUACUAACAAAUUUUCUUCUCCUACACUAAGUUGUCUUUUGGGCUUUUUUUUUUUUUAACAUUUAAUGUGAAUUUCCACAUUUACCACACCGCAGCAUUCAAAAAAUAGGAUUUAGCCUAAAUGAAUCAUGAAUUCUCAGAAAACUUCCUUGAAACAGUAAGUUCGCCACCACUACAGUUUGGCUUCAGCCUGUUUCCAAACCUCAGAUCUGAAUGUGAUUAAGGAAUGUAAGAAAACGCCAACAACAACCAGACCUGCACAGCACAAAUGUCGUUAAAAGCUGGAUUUUCAUAUCCUCCCAAAAUUCUGUAGCUUACUUGAUGGUGUGAGAAACUAAGUGGCACAUUGCUACUAGCUGAUCAAUCUCCCUGACUUCUGAACCUAAGCAAAUUAGUAUUAUCUCCUUAAUUUCUCACAGGAAGAAGAAAAAGUCAAAGGAGCUGUUGACACUGACAAACAAAGUGUAUUCUCCUGGAGCCCUGCGUUUCAGUCUCAUGUGUGGGAGAGAUGGAAAUGAGGAAGGUCAUGGAAAAUAAUUGCCACUUUACCUUUAAAUAUUCCUUUGCAACAUAAUGAAAAUAUUUUCAAAUAUACAACCUCAUUUGUCUUUUACAGCAACUCUGUGAGGUAGACAGAACAGAUAAUGUACCAACAAAUAAACUAAGAUGCCAAGAGGUUAUGCCACUUACCCAAAGUCACACAGCCAGGUAACGGGAGCCAGAUACAAAAUAGUGCCAUCGCUCUUUCUUUUUCUAAAGAGCGACAGUUGCAAAAGUUUCCUAGAUCCAAUUACAACGUAUGCGCGUGCGCGCACACGUGUGUGUGUGUGUGUGUGUGUGUGUGUGUGUGUGUGUGUAGGCUUCCCCACACCAGAGAGCAGUUCUCAGAUGCCAGCAGGAUAUCUGAGAAUUCAACUCAAUUCUGACACUGUCGAUCUGUAGAUGGAAUCAGAUUCGACAGGUAAAGGGCUCAGACCCACAAGACCACCCUCCUAGGUUUGAUUAAUUUGCCAGAACAGCUCACAGAAUUCAAGAAAAUCUUUAUUCACUAGAUUACCAAUUUAUUACAAAGGAUAUUAAAGGAAACGAAUGUACAGCCAGAUGAAGCGAUACAUGGGGCGAGGUCCUGAACAAAGGAAUUUGGCCCAGCGCAGCGGCACAUGGAAGCUCUCUGAAAAAAGGCCUUUGAGCUUUCUUUUUGGGGGUUUUUAUGGAGGCUGCAUUAGGUAGUCAUAAUUGACUAAGUCAUUGGUCGUUUGGCAACUGAUUCAACCUCAAGCUUCCUCCCCUCCCCGGAAAUCAGGGGAUGGGACCGAAAGUUCCAGUCAUCUGGUCACAUGGCUGGUUCUGCUGGCCACCAGCCCCCAUCCUGGGGUGGGGUCCAAAGGUCACCUUCAUUAACAUAAAUGAGACACCUUUAUCACUCUCACACUUAGGAAAUUCCAAGGGUUUUGGGAGCUGUGAGCCAGGAACUGUGAAGAACCACAUAUAUAUGAGAACAUAUUUUUGUCAUCUGAAUGUCCAAAUAUGUAUUUCUCAUAAAUCACAAUAUCACAAUAGUAAAAUAAUGUUUCGAUUUUGCUGACUCAAGAAAUUUAUCAAGAGAAAACCAACGUCAGUUCCGACUUACAUAGAUAGUUUUUUUUUAACCUUUUUUUUGGUAUAAAAUAUAGUAAUGUACAAAAUGUAGACUAAUCUUAACUGCACAUAAAAUGGUGAAUUUUUAUUUAUAUGUGUGUACACACACACACAUAUACACCAAUGUAACUGAAACCCACAGUAAGAAACAAAACAGUUCCAGUAUCCUCGUGCCUAUUCCAAAUUAAUCCCUGCCCCAGGGAUAACCACUCUUCUGACUUUUCUCCUAAUGGAUGAAUUUUGCUUGUUCUUGGACUUCAUAUAAAUGGAAGUAUAUAGUA